rfam:Lepisosteus oculatus linkage group LG26, whole genome shotgun sequence.
ACAAAGGCUCUUUUAAGAGCCACCACAACACUCGAGAGGGUUACAU